rnacentral:rRNA from 1 species
UACGGAGGGUGCGAGCGUUGUCCGGAGUCACUGGGCGUAAAGGGCGCGUAGGCGGCUUUUUAAGUGUGCGGUGAAAGCCCGGGGCUUAACCCCGGGUCGGCCGUGCCGACUGAAAAGCUGGAGCACUGUAGAGGCAGGUGGAAUUCCGGGUGUAGCGGUGGAAUGCGUAGAGAUCCGGAAGAACACCAGUGGCGAAGGCGGCCUGCUGGGCAGUUGCUGACGCUGAGGCGCGACAGCGUGGGGAGCAAACAGG